rnacentral:sRNA from 1 species
UAACACACUUUAUAACAAAUUCUACUUACUUUUUAUGGGAUGUUUUAACGACUGCUUAUAUUGGUAACAAGGACUUGGUUCAUUCAAUUG